rnacentral:rRNA from 1 species
UACGUAAGGUGCGAGCGUUAAUCGGAAUUACUGGGCGUAAAGCGUGCGCAGGCGGUUUGUUAAGACAGAUGUGAAAUCCCCGGGCUCAACCUGGGAACUGCAUCCGAGACUGCAUUGCUAGAGUAUGGGAGAGGGAAGCGGAAUUUCUGGUGUAGCAGUGAAAUGCGUAGAUAUCAGAAGGAACAUCAGUGGCGAAGGCGGCUUCCUGGACCAAUACUGACGAUCAGGUGCGAAAGCGUGGGGAGCAAACAGG